rnacentral:rRNA from 1 species
CACUUCUAAGGAAGGCAGCAGGCGCGCAAAUUACCCAAUCCUGACUCAGGGAGGUAGUGACAAGAAAUAACAAUAAACCGGCUUAUGCCGGUUUAAUUGGAAUGAGUACAAUUUAAACAUCUUAACGAGGAACAAUUGGAGGGCAAGUCUGGUGCCAGCAGCCGCGGUAAUUCCAGCUCCAAUAGCGUAUACUAAAGUUGUUGCAGUUAAAAAGCUCGUAGUUGGAUUUCUGUGGGGACGGAGCGGCCGGCCGCACAUCGCGGUUCGAGCUAGCGCUUUCCCUACAUCCUGCCGCGAACCGUGCUACCAUUAAUUUGGUGGCGCCGGGGAUCGGCUCGAUUACUUUGAGAAAAAUAGAGUGUUCAAAGCAGGCCACAUGCCUUGAAUAAGUUAGCAUGGAAUAAUAACCAAGGACUUCGGUUCUAUUUUGUUGGUGUUCGGGACUGAAGUAAUGAUUGAUAGGGACAGUUGGGGCGGUCUGUAUUCCAAAGCGAGAGGUGAAAUUCUUAGACCUUCGGAAGACAAACAGCUGCGAAAGCGUUCCGCAAGGAUGCUCCCUUUGAUCAAGAACGAAAGUUGGGGGAUCGAAGACGAUCAGAUACCGUCGUAGUCUCAACUAUAAACUAUACCAGCUAGGGAUCGGCCAACGUUAUUUCAUACCGACUUGGUCGGCACCUUAUGAGAAAUCAAAGCAUCUGGGUUCCGGGGGGAGUAUGGUCGCAAGGCUGAAACUUAAAGGAAUUGACGGAAGGGCACCACCAGCCGUGGAGCCUGUGGCUUAAUUUGACUCAACACGGGAAAACUUACCAGGUCCAGACAUAGUAAGGAUUGACAGAUUGAUAGCUCUUUCUUGAUUCUGUGGGUGGUGGUGCAUGGCCGUUCUUAGUUGGUGGAGUGAUUUGUCUGGUUAAUUCCGUUAACGGACGAGACCCCAGCCUGCUAAAUAGCGCGCGUGAGCUUUGCUCGCGGCGAGCUUCUUAGAGGGACUAUGAUGCGCGAUAGCGCAUGGAAGUUUGGGGCAAUAACAGGUCUGUGAUGCCCUUAGAUGUUCUGGGCCGCACACGGGCUACACUGGCGCCUGCAACGAGCAUAUCAGCUGGCCCGAGAGGGUCUUGGCUAAUCUUUUGAACCGGCGCCGUGCUUGGGAUUGACCUUUGCAAUUGUUGGUCAUGCAACGAGGAAUGCCUUGUAAACGCGAGUCAUCAGCUCGCAUUGAAUACGUCCCUGCCCUUUGUACACACCGCCCGUCGCUCCUACCGAUGAAUGUUCCGAUGAAAUUUUCGGAGAGCACCUGUGAACUUGGCUCUGCCUUGCGAACGGGAGGCUCAAAGUCACUUAAAUCUGAACAUUUCGAGG